rnacentral:rRNA from 1 species
ACGCUGGCGGCAGGCCUAACACAUGCAAGUCGAGCGGCAGCACGGGUACUUGUACCUGGUGGCGAGCGGCGGACGGGUGAGUAAUGCCUAGGAAUCUGCCUGGUAGUGGGGGAUAACGCUCGGAAACGGACGCUAAUACCGCAUACGUCCUACGGGAGAAAGCAGGGGACCUUCGGGCCUUGCGCUAUCAGAUGAGCCUAGGUCGGAUUAGCUAGUUGGUGGGGUAAUGGCUCACCAAGGCGACGAUCCGUAACUGGUCUGAGAGGAUGAUCAGUCACACUGGAACUGAGACACGGUCCAGACUCCUACGGGAGGCAGCAGUGGGGAAUAUUGGACAAUGGGCGAAAGCCUGAUCCAGCCAUGCCGCGUGUGUGAAGAAGGUCUUCGGAUUGUAAAGCACUUUAAGUUGGGAGGAAGGGCAGUUACCUAAUACGUAUCUGUUUUGACGUUACCGACAGAAUAAGCACCGGCUAACUCUGUGCCAGCAGCCGCGGUAAUACAGAGGGUGCAAGCGUUAAUCGGAAUUACUGGGCGUAAAGCGCGCGUAGGUGGUUUGUUAAGUUGAAUGUGAAAUCCCCGGGCUCAACCUGGGAACUGCAUGCAAAACUGCCAAGCUAGAGUAUGGUAGAGGGUGGUGGAAUUUCCUGUGUAGCGGUGAAAUGCGUAGAUAUAGGAAGGAACACCAGUGGCGAAGGCGACCACCUGGACUGAUACUGACACUGAGGUGCGAAAGCGUGGGGAGCAAAC